rnacentral:rRNA from 1 species
AACGAACGCUGGGCGGCAGGCUUAACACAUGCAAGUCGAACGCCCCGCAAGGGGAGUGGCAGACGGGUGAGUAACGCGUGGGAAUCUACCCAGAACUUCGGAACAACUGAGGGAAACUUCAGCUAAUACCGGAUACGCCCUACGGGGGAAAGAUUUAUCGGUUCUAGGAUGAGCCCGCGUUGGAUUAGCUAGUUGGUGAGGUAAUGGCUCACCAAGGCGACGAUCCAUAGCUGGUCUGAGAGGAUGAUCAGCCACACUGGGACUGAGACACGGCCCAGACUCCUACGGGAGGCAGCAGUGGGGAAUAUUGGACAAUGGGCGAAAGCCUGAUCCAGCCAUGCCGCGUGAGUGAUGAAGGCCUUAGGGUUGUAAAGCUCUUUCAGUAGGGAAGAUAAUGACGGUACCUACAGAAGAAGCCCGGCUAACUUCGUG